ensembl:lncRNA
CAUUAUAUAUGAUAUUCUGAGUGUGUUAACUUACUUGUUCCUUAUUUCAGGGUAACAAGGGAGAUGCUGGUGUGAAUGGUAAGAACGGUAAUAACGGAGAACCAGGACCUCCAGGUCUACCGGGCAAACAAGUGCUUGUCACUCCAGAGGUGAAAAUUAAGAGAAGCUUAGUUGUGUUUUUUUGCUUCUUGAUGAUGAAUUAGAAAAUAGUUCAAACAAGACACUUUCAUUUAAUUUUACAUUCUCAGGGCGCCACUCUCGAUGAAAUCCAACAAGCAUUUCCUAUUCCAAUGGGCCCUCCAGGAGCUACUGGUGCUCCAGGAAUGAAGGGGGAAAAAGGGGAGAAAGGACACAAGGGAGAUGCUGGAGGUCCUGGGAAAUCUCUGGAAAUGAAGGACAUUGAAGCACUGUUUGAAGCGUAUGGGAUUAGGCUACCGCUGCUAAAGGCUCUGAUCGACAGGAUGCUACAGGAAGGAAUAGAGGAGCUACUUCAUGUUCUCAGCACAUCCAAGAAAAUAACAGAAGAAGAAGAAACACAGACCAACGUUAUAUCUACACACAAAACUUUGGUUAAGUUUGACUUCCCAAGCCAAUCACUGCCAGAGAUGGAAACCAUUGAGGACCCUGUCUUCAAUGAACAGCUUUCUGAUUCACUGUUAGUUGAUACUGUAAAUGUAAGUGAAGAAAGUCCUAAACUGUGGAAUGGUACCAUGAGUAACGGACAACCUGAACUCAACAUAACUGAGUCAAAUGGAUCCACAGUAAACAGGACAAAUGACAGACAUCAUGACGAAGUGUCUCCACUUCAGAUUAAUCUGACGGCAGCAAAUUUCACUUUUAAUCAUUCAUCAACCAAAGAGAUGCUUUCAGGGUUACCAGACACUGGGAUGGAGGCAGUUGUCCUCACACAGGAGGAAACACUGAAGGAUUCAACAUCAAAAAAGAAAAACAGGGAACGUGGCAAAGGCAAAGGAAAUAAAGGACGACCAAAGAGGCAGAGACAACGUCUGACUGGUGACAAAGAUAAGCAGGAGGAAGAGGAAGAAGACUUUGAUAAUGAUGAAGAAUAUGAUUAUGAAAUUCAGGAAGAGCUUUCCCCAGAUGAUCGCCUCAUUUCCAAAGAAAAGAAAGAAAGCAUUGAGGAUGAAGUGUCUCUGCCUGUUCCUCCUACCAUUGCAGAAGAGGCAGAUCAGGAAACCUAAUAACUCCCAGGAGAGAGAGACGUUAGCGCCCUAACACCAAGUGUUGGAGGACUUUGUUCCAACACGAACAAUGACACUCAAUCAGACUAUAAAAAGCACAUCAAGUUUUGUUUAGUUUUUACACUUUUUUAAUCACAAUUUCCAAAAAAUAAUGCCAACUUACAGUUAAUAGGUGUCCUAAUGUGGAGGGACAAACAAAUCUGAUGCUGCUAUAGUCUUCUAAUUUACGACCACUCAUUAAAGAUAAUUGUGUUCCCAUCUGAGUGGUGAUGUGAAAAUAUUUGAUUAGGCUCAUUCUUUGACCGAGGGGUUGUUUGACUCUAAAAAAGCUGAGAUAAACUCUUCAUUAAACCUGUAUAAGGUGGAGACAUGGCCCUUAGUGAGAGAAUUCAAGUGUAAAGGUGCAUGAGAAGCAUUUGUCAACCGUGCACGAUAAAAAACAACACAAUCUGUUAAGAUAGGAAACCGAGAAGUGUGUCUGCCAUAUGAACCAUCCUUUUAUUUUGAAAUGUAAUUUCUUUGUUCAAUCCGUACAGUUCAUCACUUCAACUAAAAAUGUAAAAACAAGAAAAACUAGUCAUAGCCUAAGAUAAAUGGAACCACUGAUUAAUUGUCAUAUUUGAUAAAUUGGGUUUAUAACACAUUGAGCAACCCUUGAGAAAUUCUAAAAUCUUUUGCACACAAAUAAAAGAAAGGUGCUGCGUUUGGUGUCCCA